CAAUAGCGUAUAUUAAAGUUGUUGCGGUUAAAAAGCUCGUAGUUGGAUUUCUGUUGAGAGCAGCGGGUCACUCCUAUGGAUGUGUAUCUUGUUUGAUCUCGGCAUCCUCUCGAAAUACGGUUUUGCGCUUGAUUGCGUGGGCUAGUAUUCGGGACUUUUACUUUGAGGAAAUUAGAGUGUUCACGGCAGGCCAUUGCCCUGAAUAUAUUAGCAUGGAAUAAUAAUAUAGGACAUUUGUUCUUGUUUUGUUCGGCCCUACGAACGAAUGUAAUGAUUAAUAGGGACAAGUUGGGGGCAUUCGUAUCAACACGUCAGAGGUGGAAUUCUUGGUAUUGUGUUGCGACGAACUACUGCGAAAGCUAUUUGCCGAAGGAUUGUUUUCUAUUGAUCAAAGAAACGAAAAGGUAAGGGAGUACGAAGAUGAUCAGA
rnacentral:rRNA from 1 species